AUGUCCAAUUAUCCCUUUUGUCUCCACUCAGUAACUGUUAUCUACACAUUCUGUUAUCUUUGCUCGUCCUGGCUCCCUUUUCAAACUUCUCCUCUCUGCUCUCCAACCUUCAAGGUCUCUGCAGUGCAGGGGAGGGCUCUUCUGUCUGCCUUUUCCCCUUAUCUGUCUGUAGCUCGUUUUCCACAUGUCCAAUUAUCCCUUUUGUCUCCACUCAGUAACUGUUAUCUACACAUUCUGUUAUCUUUGCUCGUCCUGGCUCCCUUUUCAAACUUCUCCUCUCUGCUCUCCAACCUUCAAGGUCUCUGCAGUGCAGGGGAGGGCUCUUCUGUCUGCCUUUUCCCCUUAUCUGUCUGUAGCUCGUUUUCUCAUGUUUCCAAAUUUGAACUAAAUGUCUCACUGUUUGGCUUUAUCUAAACUCAUGGAUUUUUUUUUUUGAAAAACAUGUCUAUGGUGGCACUUUCUAAAGUCCUUAUAUAGGUUAAUUAAACCCCACUAUAAUUAAUUUACCUUAAAAAUAAAAACUAAAAACAAACCGUAUUACCCAUGACCACAAAUUAAAUAUUCAAAUGGCACCCCCUAUAUACAGGUGUUAAAACCAAACACAAAUAUCUAAAUUUCUUCCCUGCCCUGUUGGCUCAAAAUAUGUCCCAAAUACUUAACAUGAGUCUACCAUAAAUAAAACUUAUCCUAGCUAAAUUUUCACACCACGUUCAUCAGAGAAAAUAUAUUGACACUAUAAUGUAAAUUUCACUGCAUUUUUGUAUUAAAUUACCUUAAUAUCAGUAUUACAAAUUACCCUAGAUUCUCCAUCCAAAUGGCUUUCCAAUGAGGCUGAUCAGACCACAAAGGAAAGUUACAAUGGAGGUCAUAAGUCAUACCACCUUCCCUGUGUUUGAUUACCAAUUUCAAACCAGUUGUAACUUUAGUUAACGUCAACCUGCUCCGCCACAGGAGUGCCAUCUGAUGCACUGUCCAGCUAGACCAGUCAGGACCAGUCUCUGCCACUAAAUUCUUCCACGUCCAUUUAUUAUACCCCCCUUCUGUCAUG
rnacentral:lncRNA from 13 species